rnacentral:rRNA from 1 species
GACGAACGCUGGCGGCGUGCUUAACACAUGCAAGUCGAGCGGUAAGGCCCUUUCGGGGGUACACGAGCGGCGAACGGGUGAGUAACACGUGGGUGACCUGCCCUCAGCUCUGGGAUAAGCCUGGGAAACCGGGUCUAAUACUGGAUAUGACUCCAUGACGCAUGUUGUGGGGUGGAAAGCCUUGUGCGGCUGAGGAUGGGCCCGCGGCCUAUCAGCUUGUUGGUGGGGUGAGGCCCUACCAAGGCGACGACGGGUAGCCGGCCUGAGAGGGCGACCGGCCACACUGGGACGUGAGGACACGGCCCACGACUCCUACGGGAGGCAGCAGUGGGGAA